UUCUGACCCCACGCCGGAGGCAAGGCAUCCGAAAGUGGUCUCUUUUUUUUUGUUUCGGACGGCCAUUUGCAAGUUAAUAUAACAAGAGUGCCAAUCGCCACAUAGCGAAUUGGCACGUUGUGCCAAGCAGAUUUCCAAGGGAGAAUAGCGGAAAAAGAUAAUUGGGAUCGAUGCCCGAGCCGGCCGCAGCCACAACCAGCUGGCCAUAGAAAGGGAAGAGAAGAGACUGCGCUCCCGAAAAAAAAAAAAAAAAAGCACAAGAACCGAUCGAAUUCGCCGCUGGCGCAGAGAAGCGCAAGGCAGAGAGUCCGCCGCUCCAGCUGUGGGUCCGACUCAGUGCAUCAGCAGCAUCGUCGGCGCCGGGAAGCUGCGAAACUAAAAGCGGAAUAUUGAACAUUUUUUUUUGGCCCCCAAGUUUUUUUGCGUAAAUAUCUUGCCCUCGGCCGACCUGGCUUAGUGAAAAAAAAGUAGAGGAAAUAAAAACCCAGAUCAAAAUUAUACCCAUGAGCCAAUAGGCAAGGUCUUACAAUUAUAGCAAGCGGAUCGUCUUCGACAAAAGCGCUUUUGGAGAUGGAUGGCACGUAAGUGAAAGAAUAUUGCUUUACUCUAAAUAAAUUGCAUGCAUGAGCGUGAGAGAAGGAGUGGUAUAGGAAAGAAAGAGGGGGAGAGGUAAAACAGUUGGGCAGAUCCACAUGCCGGAAGAGAUAGCAAGAACAGUAACCAUGGGUUUUUUUGUUGUUAUCACAAAUGCUCUGUUAAAUUUGUAUGCCAGUUUAGCGGCUACCUCCUAUAUACAUAUACUGUUUUUUUAUUAUAUACACAUUUAAUUCUUUUUUUUCUAUUUAGUUAUAAUUCUUCUAUUUUAAUUGUUAUUAGUAUUAUUUUAAUUUCCAACCUGGAAUAUUCUCGAAUCCUGUUGUUCGCUAAAAUAGUUAUUGAGUCAAUUGGGAGUUUAAGUAGAGUAGGGAAAUGCCCCUGUGUCAAGUAAUAAAUAAGUUUUAAAAUGAA